AUUGAACGCUGGCGGCAGGCCUAACACAUGCAAGUCGAAGGAGUGGCGGACGGGUGAGUAAUGUCUGGGAAACUGCCUGAUGGAGGGGGAUAACUACUGGGAGCGGUAGCUACUACCGCAUACCAUCAGAUGUGCCCAUAUGGGAUGAGCUUGUUGGUGGGGUAACGGCUCACAAAGGAGACGAUCCCUAGCUGGUCUGUGAGGAGGACCAGCUACACUGGAACGUGAACAAGGGCCAGACUCCGACGGGAGGCAGCAGGGGGGAAUAAUGCACAAUGGGCGCAGGCCGGAUGACGCCAUGGCGGGUGUAUGAAGAAGGCGUUCGGGUUGUAAAGUACUUUCAGCGGGGAGGCUUUACCCGCAGAAGAAGCACCGGCUAACUCCGUGCCAGCAGCCGCGGUAAUUC
rnacentral:rRNA from 1 species